CCAGACUCCUACGGGAGGCAGCAGUGGGGGAUAUUGCACAAUGGGGGGAACCCUGAUGCAGCGACGCCGCGUGGGUGAAGAAGCGCCUCGGCGCGUAAAGCCCUGUCAGCAGGGAAGAAAAUGACGGUACCUGGCUAAGAAGCCCCGGCUAACUACGUGCCAGCAGCCGCGGUAAUACGUAGGGGGCAAGCGUUAUCCGGAUUUACUGGGUGUAAAGGGAGCGUAGGCGGCAGGGCAAGCCUGAUGUGAAAGCCCGGGGCCCAACCCCGGGACUGCUCUGGGAACUGUGCGGCUGGAGUGCGGGAGGGGCAGGCGGAAUUCCUGGUGUAGCGGUGAAAUGCGUAGAUAUUAGGAAGAACACCAGUGGCGAAGGCGGCUUUCUGGACUGAAACUGACGCUGAGGCACGAAAGCGUGGGGAGCGAACAGGAUUAGAUACCCCUGUA
rnacentral:rRNA from 1 species